rnacentral:rRNA from 1 species
AGUGAACGCUGGCGGUAGGCCUAACACAUGCAAGUCGAACGGCGGCACAGUAAGAGCUUGCUCUUACGGGUGGCGAGUGGCGGACGGGUGAGGCAUACAUCGGAAUCUACUUUUUCGUGGGGGAUAUCGGAGGGACACUUACGCUAAUACCGCAUACGACCUACGGGUGAAAGCAGGGGAUCUUCGGACCUUUCGCGAUUGAAUGAGCUGAUGUCGGAUUAGCUAGUUGGCGAGGUAAAGGCCCACCAAGGCGACGAUCCGUAGCUGGUCUGAGAGGAUGAUCAGCCACACUGGAACUGAGACACGGUCCAGACUCCUACGGGAGGCAGCAGUGGGGAAUAUUGGACAAUGGGCGCAAGCCUGAUCCAGCCAUACCGCGUGAGUGAAGAAGGUCUUCGGGUUGUAAAGCUCUGUUGUUAGGAAAGAAAAGAAGCAGGUUAAUCCCCCGCUGUUCUGACGGUACCCAAAGAAUAAGCACCGGCUAACUUCGUG